rnacentral:rRNA from 1 species
AUUGAACGCUGGCGGCAGGCCUAACACAUGCAAGUCGAACGGUAACAGGAAGAAGCUUGCUUCUUUGCUGACGAGUGGCGGACGGGUGAGUAAUGUCUGGGAAACUGCCUGAUGGAGGGGGAUAACUACUGGAAACGGUAGCUAAUACCGCAUAACGUCGCAAGACCAAAGAGGGGGACCUUCGGGCCUCUUGCCAUCGGAUGUGCCCAGAUGGGAUUAGCUAGUAGGUGGGGUAACGGCUCACCUAGGCGACGAUCCCUAGCUGGUCUGAGAGGAUGACCAGCCACACUGGAACUGAGACACGGUCCAGACUCCUACGGGAGGCAGCAGUGGGGAAUAUUGCACAAUGGGCGCAAGCCUGAUGCAGCCAUGCCGCGUGUAUGAAGAAGGCCUUCGGGUUGUAAAGUACUUUCAGCGGGGAGGAAGGGAGUAAAGUUAAUACCUUUGCUCAUUGACGUUACCCGCAGAAGAAGCACCGGCGAACUCCG